AAUACUGCUUUUGGUAGGUUGAGUGGAUAAGGUGAUGGACUAGAAAUCCAUUGGGGUUUCCCUGCACAGGUAAAAAUCCUGUUGGUAUGU
rnacentral:tRNA from 1 species